AUCCCAGUUCGGAUUGCAGGCUGNAACCCGCCUGUAUGAAGUUGGAAUCGCUGUAAUCGCGGAUCAGCAUGCCGCGGUGAAUACGUUCCCGGGCCUUGUACACACCGCCCGUCACACCAUGAGAGUCGGGAACACCCGAAGUCCGUAGCCUAACCGCAAGGGGGCGCGGCCGAAGGUGGGUUCGAUAAUUGGGGUGAAGUCGUAACAAGGUACC
rnacentral:rRNA from 1 species